GCCACUCAAGGCCACAGCGUAUGCGCCGUGGUCUCCCGCCCUUCUUCUUGCGCGCAUGUGCUUUGUUAGCUUUACAAAACGUUCGUUAGAUGGCGCAGAUGUCACACUUGGAAGCGUAUCAAAGCGUAUGGCGUAUGCGUUGUGGGUGUCGAGGACCAAUGAACUGAAUUGCGGAACUAAUGUUUUGGUUGUUGUUGAACUAGUUCGUUCAGUUCACCCGAAUGACUAGUUCAGUUUGAAGGGUUCGUCCACGAACGACACAUCACUACUCUAUUCCGCUUGCAAAGUUCGUUGAGGUCGGACGCGUUUGUUCUCGCAUCCGGAUUUUCCCGUUUCGUUGUGGCUCUGGGCUCCUCUGGUGCACCGAACUGCUGUGGAUGUGCUAUUCUGCUCUACAGGUGAUGCCUGGACGUGCUUUCUUGUGUGCGUGUUGGAAGAUACGUCCAGAAGCCCUUAGAUUUGGUGAAGUAAAGAUGCUUUUCACGGAUCGAUUUUCGUGAACAACGCAGAUGAGCCAGCACACACACGACGUGGGAAAAUGAACAGAUACGUCACGGAAAUGUUGAAAGACAUCAAAUGAGGCAUACGCCUCACCCAUGCAACUCCGUCAUCUGCUCCACGGCAGUGCAAGCUGUGUCCUUGAAUGUAAAAAAAUUGUGAAUGGUAUUAAUAAAUAAAGGGAAGUAGACGGUAUUUUAUUGUACUCCUCUCUUAUUAUUUUUGCUCAUUGCAUGUGUAUGCAUGUAUCGCCACAGCCAAAUUUCAUACCAUGUCCCCAUACGCGCAGUGUACAGAUCAUAUAGGAGACGCAGGUCCUACAUCUCCUAUAAUACCUAUAUUGC